rnacentral:rRNA from 1 species
UUAAGUUAUUAAGGGCGCACGGUGGAUGCCUUGGCACUAGAAGCCGAUGAAGGACGUUACUAACGACGAUAUGCUUUGGGGAGCUGUAAGUAAGCUUUGAUCCAGAGAUUUCCGAAUGGGGAAACCCAGCAUGAGUUAUGUCAUGUUAUCGAUAUGUGAAUACAUAGCAUAUCAGAAGGCACACCCGGAGAACUGAAACAUCUUAGUACCCGGAGGAAGAGAAAGAAAAUUCGAUUCCCUUAGUAGCGGCGAGCGAAACGGGAAGAGCCCAAACCAACAAGCUUGCUUGUUGGGGUUGUAGGACACUCUAUACGGAGUUACAAAGGACGACAUUAGACGAAUCAUCUGGAAAGAUGAAUCAAAGAAGGUAAUAAUCCUGUAGUCGAAAAUGUUGUCUCUCUUGAGUGGAUCCUGAGUACGACGGAGCACGUGAAAUUCCGUCGGAAUCUGGGAGGACCAUCUCCUAAGGCUAAAUACUCUCUAGUGACCGAUAGUGAACCAGUACCGUGAGGGAAAGGUGAAAAGCACCCCGGAAGGGGAGUGAAAUAGAACCUGAAACCGUGUGCUUACAAGUAGUCAGAGCCCGUUAAUGGGUGAUGGCGUGCCUUUUGUAGAAUGAACCGGCGAGUUACGAUUUGAUGCAAGGUUAAGCAGUAAAUGUGGAGCCGUAGCGAAAGCGAGUCUGAAUAGGGCGUUUAGUAUUUGGUCGUAGACCCGAAACCAGGUGAUCUACCCUUGGUCAGGUUGAAGUUCAGGUAACACUGAAUGGAGGACCGAACCGACUUACGUUGAAAAGUGAGCGGAUGAACUGAGGGUAGCGGAGAAAUUCCAAUCGAACCUGGAGAUAGCUGGUUCUCUCCGAAAUAGCUUUAGGGCUAGCCUCAAGUGAUGAUUAUUGGAGGUAGAGCACUGUUUGGACGAGGGGCCCCUCUCGGGUUACCGAAUUCAGACAAACUCCGAAUGCCAAUUAAUUUAACUUGGGAGUCAGAACAUGGGUGAUAAGGUCCGUGUUCGAAAGGGAAACAGCCCAGACCACCAGCUAAGGUCCCAAAAUAUAUGUUAAGUGGAAAAGGAUGUGGCGUUGCCCAGACAACUAGGAUGUUGGCUUAGAAGCAGCCAUCAUUUAAAGAGUGCGUAAUAGCUCACUAGUCGAGUGACACUGCGCCGAAAAUGUACCGGGGCUAAACAUAUUACCGAAGCUGUGGAUUGUCCUUUGGACAAUGGUAGGAGAGCGUUCUAAGGGCGUUGAAGCAUGAUCGUAAGGACAUGUGGAGCGCUUAGAAGUGAGAAUGCCGGUGUGAGUAGCGAAAGACGGGUGAGAAUCCCGUCCACCGAUUGACUAAGGUUUCCAGAGGAAGGCUCGUCCGCUCUGGGUUAGUCGGGUCCUAAGCUGAGGCCGACAGGCGUAGGCGAUGGAUAACAGGUUGAUAUUCCUGUACCACCUAUAAUCGUUUUAAUCGAUGGGGGGACGCAGUAGGAUAGGCGAAGCGUGCGAUUGGAUUGCACGUCUAAGCAGUAAGGCUGAGUAUUAGGCAAAUCCGGUACUCGUUAAGGCUGAGCUGUGAUGGGGAGAAGACAUUGUGUCUUCGAGUCGUUGAUUUCACACUGCCGAGAAAAGCCUCUAGAUAGAAAAUAGGUGCCCGUACCGCAAACCGACACAGGUAGUCAAGAUGAGAAUUCUAAGGUGAGCGAGCGAACUCUCGUUAAGGAACUCGGCAAAAUGACCCCGUAACUUCGGGAGAAGGGGUGCUCUUUAGGGUUAACGCCCAGAAGAGCCGCAGUGAAUAGGCCCAAGCGACUGUUUAUCAAAAACACAGGUCUCUGCUAAACCGUAAGGUGAUGUAUAGGGGCUGACGCCUGCCCGGUGCUGGAAGGUUAAGAGGAGUGGUUAGCUUCUGCGAAGCUACGAAUCGAAGCCCCAGUAAACGGCGGCCGUAACUAUAACGGUCCUAAGGUAGCGAAAUUCCUUGUCGGGUAAGUUCCGACCCGCACGAAAGGCGUAACGAUUUGGGCACUGUCUCAACGAGAGACUCGGUGAAAUCAUAGUACCUGUGAAGAUGCAGGUUACCCGCGACAGGACGGAAAGACCCCGUGGAGCUUUACUGUAGCCUGAUAUUGAAAUUCGGCACAGCUUGUACAGGAUAGGUAGGAGCCUUUGAAACGUGAGCGCUAGCUUACGUGGAGGCGCUGGUGGGAUACUACCCUAGCUGUGUUGGCUUUCUAACCC